UUGAAAAGCAUGGUGUGUGAUCUCAAGGAGGGCUUAGAAAACAGCCUUCUACAAACCAGCAAAAUUCAAAGCAUUCAUGUGAGGAUGAGGUGGACAUUGCUGAUGGUGUUAAAAUAAACAAAGUUACACUUAUGAGUUGCAAUCAUUAAUAUCCAACAAAGCUUGUCUGUGAUCUGCUUGGGGUUAUCUUUACUCAAAAGGAAUUGUCAACACACUCCCUUACAUGACAAAAAGGGAAUAGAUCAGAUGCUGUUAAGCAACCUCUCGACAAGACACUGCUGGAUGCCAUUUUUGAAUACACUUUGAAAAAAAAUCCCACUGCCAGCAUGAAGGAGUUGAAACAGGCAGCUCGAAACAAACUAAACAAUGAAAAAAGCAAG